CCCGAGCCCUAUUCUUUCCCUCGCCGAAAACCUGCUUUCCCUUCUUCUAUACCGCGAUUUCUCCUCAACUCCAUCCGCCGAACCUUUUUCUUCUUCUUCAUCGAGCUCGCGCCACCGAGCCCUCCCUCCUUCCUCUGCUCAUCAUCACCGCCGGCCCGAAGCUUCUCUCCUCCUUCCCAAUCCAGCCGAGGCCCUGCUCCCCGACUCAUCGCCGGCGCCAAAUGUCGGCUGGUCUCGUGCCCUAGCCGUCCCUCUUCCCUGCUCCGACGCCAACAAGCUGCAAGCCCCAGCUCGCCGUGCCCUAGGAUCUGAAUUUCCCCACUACUGCCCCUUCCCGAUCUCCUCUUCUCUCCCGGGCCGCACACCGCCGCCCAAUGCCACCACCCUCUCCGAUCACCGUCCAGCGCCGGCGCCCUAGCUUGAAGCCGAGCACCCCAGGUCCAUUGUUCUAUGCCCUAGCUAUUGGCCAAUCCUCUCUUCCUUGCCAACUCCGAUCGUCGUUUGCCUAGUUUCCAUUGGGGAGAAAACUGGUAGCAACGAGAUCUGGCAGUGGCUUUUGGGAGGCGUCGACCAUAGAUCUCUGGCACCAACCUAUUGCUGUUGCUUACUGUUGGAGAAGAAGAGAAUUGGGCUACUUAGCUUGUUUCGGCAGCCAACAUCUUCGACUUUGGAUCAACAGUAAUACAUCCAAAUUUAGAUGAGUUUUAGAGGUGAUUGCAUUAGUUGUAAUGGAUUGUACAAGUUGAUUAGUUUGUAUUAUAUUGAUUAUGUAUAGAUCUUAAUCUAAUUGAGUAGUGGAACGAUUAGGGUUUAGGAAACUAACCCUAGUUAACCUGUGGAUUAAAUAUAGUUAGGGUUAAUGUCUACGAUUGAUUAGGGUUUUCCCUAAUUUAGGUUUGAGUAUUUUAUUUAGCUGUUUAAUUCAUAUGAAUUUUGCUAAAUAAAAUAUAUAUGUAUUGAUUGAUGUAGGACUCUGAUUCGAGACGAGCGUCUCGACGUUGGAUUGCUUGAUACGAUCUUCUUUUUGAGGCGGAUAUUUCUUGACUUAUCUUUUAUGAUAUUGCCACUUUGAUAUGCAUAGUAAUUUAUAGCUAGUAGCAAUGAUCUUGCUUAGAUUUGCCCUUGGUAUGCCGUUAUUUGAUACCUAUAGCAUGUUCUGUUAGUUGCCUGUUAUGUAUCCAUGUUUAUAUCUCUUGAUUAUUGUCAUAUGUACCUUAGUUCCUAGAGUAAGUGACAUACUAGGCUUCACUGAGUAUAGGACUAGUUUUUUGGAUUUUAUUAUCUGGCAAGUGUACUUAGACCUGUGAUACCUAGGUCAUGGUAUGAUCUAUUUUUCUAUUUGCUACAUAUUAUGUGAAGGUGAUUAUGGUUAAGAUUUACAUGCUUAGUGUCAUGCACCAUUUGCAUGAUUACAUGCUGUGCGAUUGUCGACUCCAUUAUUAUUGAGCACAUCGCCAGUUACAUGACCUACGCACACAACCACUCAUGGGUUAGUGGGUAUUUCAGGCAGGGUGUGUGGUGCAGUUUGCUCUAUCAGGGCUCCGUUGGUCUGCUCAUGGGUAGUGAUGACUGCAGAGUGUAACAGGCAGGGAUCCUUCCUCGGGACUGACUUAGGGAGAUGAGAGCAUUGAGCUCCCCCACUCUAUUUGGGGUAGGAGGAUAGGUGUACUCCGACAGCAUCCUAUCCACUCGGUAACUCAGGAGCAGUGAUGAAAGAGUGCACAGUUGUCAUAACCCUACCCACUCGGUCUCACCAUCGCGUGUGAGAUGGCUGACUGGCGUCAGAGGUGACACAUGUCAUUUUUGCAUCAUAUGCAUUGAUUGCAUUUAUGGUUUGUGAUUGUUGUAUUUUGGUGGUUGCAUAUGAUUGACAUACAUACAGGAGACAUUAUAUAUUUGGUCUGAAGACCCUUACAUCUGGAUAGGAGGUCCUGGUAAGUACAGUUCUUCUGUUAUCUUUUCAGUUUGCAUUUCUUAUUAUUGAUCAGAAAAUUGUAUUCCAUGAUUAUUUCUGUUAGUUAUAUCUUACUAGGCAUGUCAGCUUGAUAUUCGCUGAGUUCUUUGAACUCAUGUCGUUGAACUAUUUCUUUUUCAGAUAGAAGGUAGAUUUGUGGAGUCGCUUGGAGUAUCCUGUCUGUCAGUUCUCACGUCACAUUCGAAAAUCUGUUUCUGGUUUUCAUUUGUACUUUAUUUGGUCUACGUUUUGGUUUACUUAGCAAUGUAGAAUUUUGAUUUUGGUUCCGGAGUGUUGUGUCGUGAUGUGGUGUUUUGUAUUGUUUGUUGUGUUGUGUAAGUCUAGCUGGCUAGCAGUCAUUCAUUUAGUUUGUAAUGGUUUUCUCUUGUAUUUUCCGCUGUGUUCUUCUUUUAGUACAACCAAGUGGGUUGUUAGAUAUAUAUAUAAUUGUGUGGUUGUAUUUUUUGUCGUUA